GACGGAGGGUGCUAGCGUUGUUCGGAAUCACUGGGCGUAAAGGGCGCGUAGGCGGCCCUUGUCGUCGGUCCGUGAAAGCCCGGGGCUCAACCCCGGAACGGCGGCCGAUACGCAGGGGCUGGAGGCCGGAAGAGGAGGGUGGAAUACCCAGUGUAGAGGUGAAAUUCGUAGAUAUUGGGUGGAACACCGGUGGCGAAAGCGGCUCUCUGGUCCGGACCUGACGCUGAGGCGCGAAAGCGUGGGGAGCAAACAGG
rnacentral:rRNA from 1 species